rnacentral:rRNA from 1 species
UUUUGACGUUUUGAAACACGAACCAAGGAGUGCAACACGUGCGCGAGCCCUUGGGCGGCAAACCCUCGGGCGAAGUGAAAGCAAAGGCCUGCAGAGGCAGGCCGAGGUGAGAGCCGGUAGACGCCGGCCCAUCAUCGACCGAUCCGCGUCACUUGUGGUGGGAUUCGAGUGAGAGUGUGCCUGUUGCGACCCGAAAGAUGGUGAACUAUGCCCGAACAGGGCGAAGCCAGGGGAAACCCUGGUGGAAGCUCGAAGCGGUUCUGACGUGCAAAUCGAUCGUCUGAUUUGGGUAUAGGGGCGAAAGACUAAUCGAACCAUCUAGUAGCUGGUUCCCUCCGAAGUUUCCCUCAGGAUAGCUGGAAUCCGAGUUUGUGCAGUUUUAUCAGGUAAAGCGAAUGAUUAGAGGCAUUGGGGUUGAAACAACCUCAACCUAUUCUCAAACUUUAAAUAGGUAAGAAGUCCGACUUGCUCCAUUGAAGCCGGACGUCGAAUGCAGGGUUCCAAGUGGGCCAUUUUUGGUAAGCAGAACUGGCGAUGCGGGAUGAACCGAAAGGCGGGCUAAGGUGCCGAAGUCAACGCUCAUCAAACCCCACAAAAGGUGUUGGUU